CUUGACAUCCCGGAGACCCUUAGGAACUAGGGGGUGCUUCCAUCUGGAAGAAUCUGGAGACAGGUGCUGCAUGGCUGUCGUCAGCUCGUGUCGUGAGAUGUUGGGUUAAGUCCCGCAACGAGCGCAACCCUUGCCUUUAGUUGCCAGCAGUUCGGCUGGGCACUCUAAAGGGACUGCCGGUGUUAAACCGGAGGAAGGUGGGGAUGACGUCAAGUCCUCAUGGCCUUUAUGACCAGGGCUACACACGUACUACAAUGGCCGAUACAAAGGGCAGCGACACUGCGAGGUGAAGCCAAUCCCGUAAAAUCGGUCUCAGUCCGGAUUGGAGUCUGCAACUCGACUCCAUGAAGUUGGAAUCGCUAGUAAUCGUGGAUCAGCAUGCCACGGUGAAUACGUUCCCGGGCCUU
rnacentral:rRNA from 1 species